UACGUAGGUGGCAAGCGUUGUCCGGAUUUACUGGGCGUAAAGGGCGUGCAGGCGGUCUGUUAAGUUCAGGGUGAAAGCUCCCGGCUCAACUGGGAGAGGUCCUUGGAUACUGGCAGACUUGAGGGAGGUAGAGGAGAGUGGAAUUCCCGGUGUAGCAGUGAAAUGCGUAGAGAUCGGGAGGAACACCAGUGGCGAAGGCGGCUACCUGGACCAGCACUGACACUGAAGCACGAAAGCGUGGGGAGCAAACAGG
rnacentral:rRNA from 1 species